AUUGAACGCUGGCGGCAGGCUUAACACAUGCAAGUCGAACGGUAACAGGAGAAAGCUUGCUUUCUUGCUGACGAGUGGCGGACGGGUGAGUAAUGCUUGGGAAUCUGGCUUAUGGAGGGGGAUAACGACGGGAAACUGUCGCUAAUACCGCGUAGUGUCGAGAGAUGAAAGUGCGGGACCUUCGGGCCGCAUGCCAUAGGAUGAGCCCAAGUGGGAUUAGGUAGUUGGUGGGGUAAAGGCCUACCAAGCCGACGAUCUCUAGCUGGUCUGAGAGGAUGACCAGCCACACCGGGACUGAGACACGGCCCGGACUCCUACGGGAGGCAGCAGUGGGGAAUAUUGCGCAAUGGGGGCAACCCUGACGCAGCCAUGCCGCGUGAAUGAAGAAGGCCUUCGGGUUGUAAAGUUCUUUCGGUAUUGAGGAAGGUUGUUGUGUUAAUAGCACGACAAAUU
rnacentral:rRNA from 1 species